CCUACGGGGGGCAGCAGUAGGGAAUCUUCGGCAAUGGGGGCAACCCUGACCGAGCAACGCCGCGUGAGUGAAGAAGGUUUUCGGAUCGUAAAGCUCUGUUGUAAGUCAAGAACGGGUGUGAGAGUGGAAAGUUCACACUGUGACGGUAGCUUACCAGAAAGGGACGGCUAACUACGUGCCAGCAGCCGCGGUAAUACGUAGGUCCCGAGCGUUGUCCGGAUUUAUUGGGCGUAAAGCGAGCGCAGGCGGUUUGAUAAGUCUGAAGUUAAAGGCUGUGGCUCAACCAUAGUUCGCUUUGGAAACUGUCAAACUUGAGUGCAGAAGGGGAGAGUGGAAUUCCAUGUGUAGCGGUGAAAUGCGUAGAUAUAUGGAGGAACACCGGUGGCGAAAGCGGCUCUCUGGUCUGUAACUGACGCUGAGGCUCGAAAGCGUGGGGAGCG
rnacentral:rRNA from 1 species